UAGGGGAAUUUUCGUCAAUGGGCGCAAGCCUGAACGAGCAAUGCCGCGUGAACGAGGAAGGUCUUCGGAUCGUAAAGUUCUGUUGAGGGGAAAAAGAGCGGAGAGAGGAAAUGCUUUCUGAUUGAUAUUACCCUUCGAGGAAGUCACGGCUAACUACGUGCC
rnacentral:rRNA from 1 species